rnacentral:sRNA from 1 species
GAGAGUGACUAAAUUCUCUCUCCCUCUCCGACCGCCGCAGGCCAAAGAGGUGAUUCUGCCUGCAUGAUGUCCUCCUUGCUGGAGGCGAGCUCUUUGCAGGCGCCACAUCGCGAUCAAAAAGAGAAAGAAAAAAAGAAAAGAAAACGUGGAAGAAGCAGCCAGGAGCUGGGGACCGAACCCAGGGCCUUGCACUUGCUAGGCAAGCGCUCUACCACUGAGCUAAAUCCCCAACCCCCAUCACCUAACUUUUAAACCAAGAAAUGUAGUGUCUUUUUUGCUGCUUGUGUAGCUUUUAGUGAUGUAUCUUAUCUCCUAUUACAUCCUUUGUUUCCAUGAUAGUUGUUUUCAAGUAUAUAUGAUUACCGAUCCUUUUUGUAGACCUAUUCAAUAUUUCUGCUUUUAUUGGUUAAAUAUAUUUAGUGAAUUUGCAUUGUGAUAUCAGUAAAAUUCUAUGUGAAUGUUUUAGAGAAUAUACCGGUUUGUGUAAUUUCCCCUCAAGGAUUUUUGGUGGCCUGUAUUCACAUUUAAAAGACUCGAAUUUAUACCAUCCAGAGCAGGAUUGAUAGGGAAGCACAAUGGACAGUGACAGUGUUGUUCCCGUUGACAGUUGUGGGAGCCAAGAAAGAAGUGUGACUUGCAUAUUUGCGACUAACAAAAUCGAGACUGAGUAUCAUUACUGUUGAAGCCCAUGUAAAAAAUGAUGAAAUUUUCAGAAAUCACCAGUUAAGAAAUCGUAGUGUUGCUUAAAUGGAAUCUGAGUUUCAAAGUUAUGUUUCAUUUUUCUUUAUUCCUUAAUGAAGCUUUUUAUUAAGUUUUUUAUUCACCAUUUCACCCUUAGAUGCACAGUGGUAAGAUCAUAGUAGGUGCUCAAUAAAUCACUUAACCAUCAGGGCAGAGGAAUGGUAAGAAAGUAUGUAUUUUCUAUACGUUCUGUUAGUUUUGGGAACAGGUGGUUUUAGGUUUACCAGUCAUAUCUUGGUAUCUUGUCCCACAUAAGACAACUUGACAGAAUCCCCUUUCUGGCCAUUAUGUUCAAGUUAUUUUUGUCUUAAGCCUUCUUGAAAAUCAUGGAAGUAGUGUAGAAACUUGAUUGUACCUGCAAUAUAGCAAAAAAGGUCAGUCUAGAUAGGUAAGCAGUUAUGUUUCUCCAUGAACUGAUGUCUUAAAACAUGUAAAUUUUAGGAAUUUAGUGUUGUGUUUUCUAAAGAUACAUCAUACAACAUACAGAUAACAUUGUAAUAGAAUAAAGGAAUCUUUUGAUUUAGUACCAAAUUCCAUAAAGCAAUGACUACUGCACAGCUCUCUUGGCCAUAUGAAUAGCAAAAAUUGUAUUUCACUUUUUUAAAGCAGUAACAAAAUUACUUAAGGUUAAGCGGAGCCCAUGGGAAAAGGUCCCGGUGGUGUUUCUCUUUGGUUUCUUGUGAUCUUUCUAGAGAAUGGCUUUAAGAAAUAAGUGCGGUCAGGUGGUCAGUGUGGUCAGGCAGUCAUGAGCAGAUGGUUAAGCAAUGUGCUAGGACCCCAUAGACCAGUGAGCCCAGCUGAAGAGGAGAGGCUAGGCAGUGAGCCCAGCUGAAGAGCAAAGGCUAGCCAGUGAGCCUAGCUGAAGAGCAAAGGCUAGCCAGUGAGCCUGACUGAAGAGCAGAGUCUAGCCAUUGAGCCUGACUGAAGAGCAGAGGCUAGCCAGUGAGCAUGACUGAAAAGCAGAGGCUAGCCCAUGAGGCUGACUGAAGAGUAGAGGCUAGCCAGUGAGCCUCGCUGAAGGCUGAAGAGCAGAGUCUAGCCCAUGAGGCUGACUGAAGAGCAGAGGCUAGCCAGUGAGCCUGACUGAAGAGCAGAGGCUAGCCAGUGAGCCAUGCUGAAGGCUAAUGAACAGUGAUUUUAACAUUUAUUUAUAAGUUCUUCAGUUUUCCUAAAAGUUUGUACAAAAGUUUGCCUCCAAAAAGAUCGCUUAAAAAGUUCUCUUUGCACUCUUCUUAUCUCCUUUCCUCUUGCUCUUAUGUCACAAUAAUUUCCUUACUCUCAAGGCCUUAUUCUCAACACUAUGCCUUUACUUCUAAGUUCUUCUUGAGUUUUGUCCUCUUCGGUUCAGUUCUGUGUAAAAAGCUUUCUCUUGCUUUGUCCUCAGCAUUUGUAUAUCUUUCUGAAUACAUCAUCACAUGGUAAAAAGUUCACCACAAGUUUGCACACGAAUUCAAAUCAUAAGUUGAAUAAUAAGUUUACAACAGAGAAUAUUUACAUGCAUAUCCAUUAAGAGUAAUUAUCAGGAUAAACUGUCAUCAUCUGUCACUGGCUCUACAGGUUCGUGGAGAGUAAAAACUGUAAUUUUUGUGAGAAAAGAGUAAGUGAAAUUACCUAUAGGCAAAUCCAGUCAAUUUUUUAUGUUUGGUCCUUGCACCUAUAUUAAGUCAUUAAUUCUCUUUUUAUGAACUUUGGUUAAUUGGUUUAUACGCUCUUAGAAUGGGCUCUAAUUUGGAGAUGCCCGCUUGGUAUUGCAGAAGUAAUUUACUCAUGACACUUUAAGAAUGGCAGAGUUUUCAAUGCAAUUUUGAUUAUCAGAGAGAACAUAAGAGCAGUCCUAUUAUAAACGGGCUUUGAAUUACUAAUCUAAUUUUAGGAAUUCUUUUACAAUCAUCAUUAAGAAGUAAGAAAUCAUCUAUUUGUCGAUACAACAUCACUCCAAGACAAUACAUCUUUGUUCUUCUGUGGUGAUCUGUUCAA